rnacentral:lncRNA from 1 species
CUGGAAUUCCAGGCAUAAGCCACCGUGCCUGGCCAAGAACGUUUUUUUUUUUAACAAGUUUCUAAAUGAUGCUGGUCUAUUGGUCCUGGGACCACACUUUGAAAUUGGUGGGAUAGGAGGCUGGGAUCUUUAUCCAUUCACUCAACUCCCAUUCCCCAUGGUUGAAAGUUUCCCUGGGGCAUCCCUGGGAGGCCUGGGGGCUGACAAGAUUCAAACGUUUUGGUGAAAAGCCCCAAGACAGUGAAGUGGGGUGUGCUUGAAGUGGGGCACCGUCAUCACCCACCUACCCACCACAGAGGUGAGCUAAAAGGUUACCAGACCGGAGCCUCCAGCAAUCCAGGAGCACAAACAAGGAUGCCUUAAAACAAAACUUGUGUCAGGGUACCCUUCGCUGCCUCAGAGGAAAUCAGAAUGACCUGGUGGACAACUGUUCAUAAGGACAAGAGCCAGUAUCACUGCCUUUGAGUCCCAGCCUCCUCAAAUCCAUUUUCUGCCCUGCACCACCUCAUCAUAUCCCGGAUAUUGUUAGUGUCGUGUCAUUUCAUGACUCAGGAGCUGCGGGUGACUUUGGCUGCCCUGACAUUUGUUAAAUUGGCUCCUGGGUCCUGGUUUGCAAAUGUUGCCACUUUGAGAUCCGUAGAUGGUCAUCCCUGGCUCCCUUGGGGAGUGUCCUGGAAUCCACCAGCUCCAUCUGCUCGACAAGAGACUUGAGUUUGUUCUGUUACCUCUUUCAUCAUUAGCCAAAGCUCCGGGACUUGGUUAAAACUUUAGGCAAUUAAAAAGACUGACUUAUGAAAAAAAAAAAAAAAA